AGGUCACUUCAAAGAGGGCUUGUGGGACCAAAACCAAGAGUUCUUAACCCUGAGGUUCUCCAUAGGAUGUAAUAGUAGUCACUCAAUAGUGUUAUCUUUUUCCGAGGAAAUAGAAGA
ensembl:snoRNA